UACGAAGGGGGCUAGCGUUACUCGGAUUGACUAGGCGUAAAGGGCGCGUAGGCGGUUUGUACAGUCAGACGUGAAAUUCCUGGGCUCAACCUGGGGGCUGCGUUUGAUACGUGCGGACUUGAGUUCGGAAGAGGGUCGUGGAAUUCCCAGUGUAGAGGUGAAAUUCGUAGAUAUUGGGAAGAACACCGGUGGCGAAGGCGGCGACCUGGUCCGAUACUGACGCUGAGGCGCGAAAGCGUGGGGAGCAAACAGG
rnacentral:rRNA from 1 species